UUCCGAAUGGGGAAACCCACCACUCGUAAUGGAGUGGUAUCCAUAUCUGAAUUCAUAGGAUAUGAGAAGGCAGACCCUCUGAACUGAAACAUCUAAGUAGGAGGAGGAAAAGAAAGAAACAUCGAUUUCCAAAGUAGCGGCGAGCGAAAUGGAAGAAGCCCAAACCGAUAUUGUUACGGCAAUAUCGGGGUUGUAGGACUGCAAUAUUCAAUUAACAAUGAACUGGAAUGGUCUGGAAAGUCCAUCCAUAGAGAGUGAAAGGCUCGUACAGGUAAGUUUGUUAUGCGAAAGCAGUAUCCUGAGUAUGGCGGGACACGAGGAAUCCUGUCAGAAUCAGCCGGGACCACCCGGUAAGGCUAAAUACUCCCAAGAGACCGAUAGUGGACCAGUACCGUGAGGGAAAGGUGAAAAGAACCCCGAACAGGGGAGUGAAAUAGAACCUGAAACCAUACGCUUACAACCGGUCGGAGCAGCUUCGUGCUGUGACGGCGUGCCUAUUGAAUAAUGAGCCUACGAGUUACUAAUCACUAGCGAGGUUAAGUGCAAGGAUGCACGGAGCCGAAGCGAAAGCGAGUCUGAACAGGGCGUUUAGUUAGUGGUUGUAGACGCGAAACCUUGCGAUCUACCCUUGAGCAGGUUGAAGGUUGGGUAAAACCAACUGGAGGACCGAACGAAUAAGCGUUGAAAAGCUUCUCGAUGACUUGAGGGUAGGGGUGAAAGGCUAAUCAAGCUGGGAAAUAGCUCGUACUCCCCGAAAUGCCUUUUGGGGCAGCGUUGUAAUAAAGAGUCUACUGGAGGUAGAGCUACUGAUUGGAUGCGGGGGCUUCACCGCCUACCAAAUCCUGACAAACUCCGAAUGCCAGUAGUAUGAUUUACAGCAGUGAGUGACUGGGUGCUAAUGUCCAGUCGCAAAAGAGGAACAACUCAGACCAGCAACUAAGGUCCCGAAGAAUAUGCUAAGUUGAUCUAACGAUGUUUUGUUGCAGAGACAGCUAGGAUGUUAGCUUGGAAGCAGCUAUUCAUUCAAAGAGUGCGUAACAGCUCACUAGUCGAGCGACAGAGCGUGGAUAAUAAACGGGCAUCAAGCAUAUCACCGAAGUUCUGGGCGCGAGAGCGCGGUAGGGGAGCAUUCCAUUCAGCGUCGAAGCAGUUUCGUGAGGAAUUGUGGAGCGUAUGGAAAAGCAAAUGUAGGCAUGAGUAACGAUAAUGCGGGAGAGUAACCCGCACACCGCAAGACCAAGGUUUCCUGAUCAACGCUAAUCGGAUCAGGGUUAGUCGGGUCCUAAGGGUAAGCCGAACGGCGAUCUCGAUGGAUAAUCGGUUAAUAUUCCGAUACUAACAUAUACCUCGAUGGAGAGACGAAGGAACGUAAGUGCCGCCACCUGACGGAAUAGGUGGUUAAAGGGCGUAGGUAUAGGGGCAGAUUAAGAGUUAGUCCUUGCUGAAACCUGACAGUACAGAGAGCCUACGGGCAAUUUGAUAGAGCACCCAAGUCGACUUCCGAGAAAAUCUUCUAAGUUAUAGUAUAUGUUACCCGUACCGUAAACCGACACAGGUGGUCGAGGAGAGUAUCCUAAGGUGCUCGAGUGAAUCACGGUUAAGGAACUAGGCAAAUUAACCCCGUAACUUCGGGAAAAGGGGUCCCUAUGAAAGUAGGGCGCAGCGAAGAGGUCCAGGCGACUGUUUAUCAAAAACACAGGGCUCUGCAAAUUCGAAAGAAGACGUAUAGGGCCUGACACCUGCCCGGUGCUGGAAGGUUAAGAGGGGAUGUCAUCGCAAGAGAAGCAUUGAAUCGAAGCCCCAGUAAACGGCGGCCGUAACAAUAACGGUCCUAAGGUAGCGAAAUUCCUUGUCGGGUAAGUUCCGACCUGCACGAAUGG
rnacentral:rRNA from 1 species